UACGUAGGGUGCGAGCGUUAAUCGGAAUUACUGGGCGUAAAGCGUGCGCAGGCGGCGAUGUAAGACAGUUGUGAAAUCCCCGGGCUCAACCUGGGAACUGCAUCUGUGACUGCAUCGCUGGAGUGCGGCAGAGGGGGAUGGAAUUCCGCGUGUAGCAGUGAAAUGCGUAGAUAUGCGGAGGAACACCGAUGGCGAAGGCAAUCCCCUGGGCCUGCACUGACGCUCAUGCACGAAAGCGUGGGGAGCAAACAGG
rnacentral:rRNA from 1 species